rnacentral:rRNA from 1 species
ACGGAAGGCAGCAGUGGGGGAUAUUGCACAAUGGGGGAAACCCUGAUGCAGCGACGCCGCGUGAGUGAAGAAGUGUUUCGGUAUGUAAAGCUCUAUCAGCAGGGAAGAUAAUGACAGUACCUGAAUAAGAAGCCCCGGCUAACUACGUGCCAGCAGCCGCGGUAAUACGUAGGGGGCAAGCGUUAUCCGGAUUUACUGGGUGUAAAGGGAGCGUAGACGGUUUGGCAAGUCUGAAGUGAAAUGCGGGGGCUCAACUCCUGAACUGCUUUGGAAACUGUCGAACUAGAGUGCAGGAGAGGUAAGUGGAAUUCCUAGUGUAGCGGUGAAAUGCGUAGAUAUUAGGAGGAACACCAGUGGCGAAGGCGGCUUACUGGACUGUAACUGACGUUGAGGCUCGAAAGCGUGGGGAGCAAACAGGAUUAGAUACCCUGGUA